AGUUAAUAAACUUAUGAAAGUAUAUGUUUUGAAAACAUAAUAAAGAAGUUCAAUUCUUCUAUUAACUU
rnacentral:tRNA from 1 species